GAUGAACGCUAGCGGCAGGCCUAAUACAUGCAAGUCGAACGAGAUUACGAGGCUUGCUUCUUAUGAAAGUGGCGCACGGGUGCGUAACGCGUAUGCAACCUACCUUAAUCAGGGGGAUAGCCCGAAGAAAUUCGGAUUAAGACCGCAUAAAAACACAGGAUAGCAUUAUCCAAUGUUCAAAUAUUUAUAGGAUUAAGAUGGGCAUGCGUGUCAUUAGCUAGUUGGCGGGGUAACGGCCCACCAAGGCGACGAUGACUAGGGGAUCUGAGAGGAUGACCCCCCACACUGGUACUGAGACACGGACCAGACUCCUACGGGAGGCAGCAGUAAGGAAUAUUGGUCAAUGGAGAGAACUCUGAACCAGCCAUGCCGCGUGCAGGAAGACAGCCCUCUGGGUCGUAAACUGCUUUUAUUCGGGAAUAAACCUUUCUACGUGUAGGAAGCUGAAUGUACCGAAGGAAUAAGGAUCGGCUAACUCCGUG
rnacentral:rRNA from 1 species